UGCGCUCGGUGGAUAGAAGACGUGA
rnacentral:miRNA from 1 species